AUUUUUUUCCUGGCUUUCUUGCUCUUUUUUGGAAACUUAAUUGCUGGCUUUUUAACUUCCAGGUUAGAGCAGCAGGGCGCAGGAGUGCAGUUCAUCAAAACCUCUGUAUUGUUGCUGAUGCGUAAACUGCCUGGCAUGGGAUACCAUGGAGUAACAAAGGCAAAUGCUUCAAAAACUGCCUCCCCUGCCUCCAUCAAUAUUUGCUGAGUAGACCUGCAUUCAGAAGGGUGUUUGUGAGAAGCAAACAUGAUAGAAGAAUGAACACUGAGAGAUACAGAAGAUGUGAUGGACAGUUUUGACAAUAACCCCCACAUCAAAUGCGCCAGAAGACUGAAGCAGAGGCAACAUUCCUGUCCAAGGACCCUUCAGCUACAAAGGAAACCCUCCAGCUCUCUUCCUUGGAAGACUUUCUGCUUCUUCAUCACUGAAUAGAGGGAACGGGUAUUAUAUGAAGAUAAAGUUAUUGCUUGUGCCUGCCUGGAGCACAAGAUCGAAGCCUUGAAACUUCCCAACAUGUCCUAUGGGAGUCUGGAGGUUGGACCUUUCCUAGAUCAGUGUAAAUACUUUAAGUACUAUCUGACUGUGCUCUAACAGGAGUUGGAAUAGAUUGGAAGCUGCACUGGUCUUAAAAGCCAGUGCUCAUAAAUACUUGGAGAGCUCAGGCUGUGGGUUCAUCCCUAGAAUGUGAGACAAGAAUUAAGCUUAUUUAGCAAUUUUGAAUUCUAUCACAGUCCUAAUUUUAGGAAAAGACACACUGUGCUGUAUCUGUUUCAUUACAUGUGUUGAAUUUGAAUUUGUAAGCCUUUAUCUUCUGUUUGUCUUGAAUUACAGAAGUAUAUAGUGCAAUGACUUCAAGAGACAGACCCACUAAAUGUAUAGUUUGUUGGAAUUAUAUCUACUUUUUUUCUUUAUUUAGGAAAUUUAGAUUAAUUUAAAUGAUUGUUUCUUCUGUAAUCUCACAGAUAGGAGAAUGACAAGAGCUCUUAUUCAGGCCAUUCAUACUAGAACAAUUCUGUAACUCUCAUGUUUUGUUUUGCUUUGUUUUGUUUUGUUUUCUUUAUCUUGGUAAAGCAGAUGCCACAAAGAAAUACUAGGGAUCCAUUAUUUAUUUUCAUUUUUUAUUUUUUAAAAGUAAAAUAGUGCAACACUUACAAAUGGAAGUUUUACAUGAAUGAUGGUUCAGUCAAGCAGUAAUACGUCACUGAGAUGUAACUAUGCAGAGUUCUUUUGGACACUCUGUUCAGUUUCUGAUCUGAGCAGCUUUUGGGUAUGCAUUCAUGACAGUUCAGCAUAUUGUUUAAUGUGAUUUUUAUAUACAUUUGCAAUUUUAGAAAAUAUUACUAUACUUCUGUUCUUGCUUUUCUCCAUUGCUGCGAAAAGAAUCAUGGUUAAAUUGUGUUCUCCUGGCUCCUCUUGGCCUUGUGGAAGACAG
rnacentral:lncRNA from 1 species